AAUAUAUUAUGUGAAUUGUGAAUAAUAGAGAAUCACUUAUUUCAUAAUAGAGAGAGUUGUAAAGACCAAAGGCUAUGAAAAAUUGAAAAUGGUGAUGAGGUAUGGCUACUUUCUAUUGGCUGAAAGUGACAUUUUGAAAGCAUACUAUUGGUUCAUACUAGCUAUCUCAUCCCAUGGAGAUACAUGCAUUCAACUUUAUCCAGACACAUUCAUAAUAUGUUUUCUAUAAGUAAUUUUAUUUUUUUUAGCAAAAGAGUAUUACGGAGGUACACUCUAUACUUGAACAUUCACUUAUUAUAUGUUUUCUAUAAUAAUUAAUAAGUGAACUCUAACCAAUAAACUCUACUUGAACAAAAACAAAAAACAUUUUCCUUAAUCAUAUUAUCUCCAUCAAUCUCAUUUUAUUAUUCGCCACUUUGAAUAUACUAUAUACAGAUACACUAAUAUUAUAGCCAUUCUCUAAAGGCUAAUUAUUUCUAUUCUUUUGGUGUUUUUAAGUAAAUUAGCUUUCGUGCUAGUAGCAUUCCAUUUAGCAUGUAAGUAAUUAUACCGGUGUAUGAGAACAAUUUCGUUUUUGACACUAUGCAUAUCUUGCGGUAUUAUGCUUUAAAAAUUUGCUUACAAAAAAAUAUUAAUAGCUAAUAAUGAUAUUUAUUAAAACCGAUAUUCUACUUUUUUUUUCAUUUCUCAUGUAUUUUUUUUAAUUUUCGUGAAAUCAUCAAAAAAAUAUGCUUUAAUUUGUGGGACAAAAAGAGCACUAGAUGAAAAAUAGGUUUUUGCAGCGUCCAAAAGCCUCCUCAAAAAACCUCCCUGAAAUAGGUUCAAGUUCAACCAUCCCGCUUUUAAACCUCCUCAAGCGUUUGCAUUUUUUUUAUGUUUUCAUAAUUAGUGUGAAAAAUAUAAAAAUAAUAAAUUUAAUAAAAAUUAGAUAUAUUAAAACAAAAAUUGUAGUAAGAGAGAAUUAAAAAACAACUUAAAAAUAAAAAAUGGUAAAACAAAUAUUUUAUAGUAAUUUAAAAUUAAAUAUAGAUUAAAUUUAAAAAGGGUUAAAUAUGUUUUUAAUCUCUACAAUAUCACAGAAUUUCUAGUUUAGUUCCUACUCCCUCCGUCCUAAUUUAUAAACAAAAAACACAAAUUCACACUUAUUAAGAAAACAAAAACAUAGUAGUUUGAGAUAUAAUUUUUUGUGUUUUUAUUGGAAUAAGUUUCAUGGAAAAAAAAUUGUGUAGAUUAAAUUUUUUGUGCCUUUAGAUGAAAAAAAAAUAUUGGAUGAUGAUUAAAAUAAAUUAGUUAGAUGAGAUGAGAGAGAAUGAAUGAGCCAUAGGUCAGACUCCCCUAACCAAGAACAAUGCCCAAAAGAGACAAAGCCAUCAUAGACCCGUACCUAGCAUAAAGGACAUCCCACCACAUAAUCAGGCUCUCCAAAAUAAUCAUCCAACAUUACUUACAAGCAUACUUAUAAAAUUCAAAAGAGGAAAAAAUACAAAAUACUUAUAAAUAAAUUCUCAUGAAUAAAGAAAAAUGAAAAAUAUUAUAUAGUUCACCCGUUUUGGUAUUAGAGGAAGUCUCAGUUAAGACCCUCGCUGAAACCCUAGAGGAAAUAAGAACCAUAGCAAAUAGGCCUAGAAUGAGGAUUGCUUUUUUUUGAAUCCAUUGUACUCAAGAGUAUAAAUAAACUACACAAAUCGGUAUUACAAAAGGGAUAUUUGGUAGUGAACAAUAAAAGAGAAUGUGCUCUAUAUGUAGUGGAGGUUGGGAGAUCAAUACUUGGUAGUUGGGAAGGUGGAAUAGUGCUCUAUAUUAAUUCAUUCUUAUCUUCAAAUUCAGAACUGUUUGUUUGUUAGUAAUUUUGAAACCAUUCAUUUUGAGUAUUAAGAAUCGGAGGCUACUUAAUUCGUUGAAAAAAUGAAGCAGUUAUUGUCUAUGCCAAGCCUACUUAAUUCGUUGAAAAUAACAGUAUUGAAAGUAUUGAAAAUAACAGUAUUGAAAAUAACAGUAUCAACCACAUACAUCAUUAAAUAAAUAAACCUAAAAAAUGAAUUUUGUUUAUAUUUUGAUACGGAGUGAGUACUUUUAAUUUUGAAACCAUUCAUUUUGAUAUUUGAGUGGUGAAGGUACAUUCCGAAUAAACACUCUAAACUCUAAACUUUUUUAUAACUUCAACAAAUGAUCUAUCUAUCACUCAAAUUAAAUUUUUAAGGGGUUCUAAAUUGACUAGUUUAAGUGUGAAGAACAAGAAACAUAUGAAUAUGCAAACUAAAAUGCAACAACAUAUUGAACAAGACUUUAAGCUCGGACAUGAGUAAAAAAUACACAACUAAAGGGUUCAAACUCACAUAUUUACUAGGUUAUUGUGAAUUUGGACUCAAAUCUUAAAAAAAAAAAAAAAUAGAUGUGAAGAGCAUAUAUCAAUGACAACCAACAAUCAAACAUUCUCAAGUUACACAACAUAUUUAAAUAUGUGUAAAGUAAAGCCACAAUCAAAGCAUGGAAUAAAGAUAAAAGAGAAGAGAAAUCAACAUAGGAAUACUAUUGUUUACCCAAUUUGCAUUGGUCCAAGAAUGAGCCACAUUUUGGGGAGAGAAAAUAUCUUCAAUCCACUAUCAAUGAUUCAUUGGAAAGAGAUACAGAGAGUUACAUGAAAUUAACUUCAACAAGAUCUUCGAGAGCAAACUUAAUUUCUACUAUUUUUCUACGUACACUCUUCCCUUGAACAAGAGAGUUACCAAGUGACCAAAAAAUUUAGCUUCCAAUGUUUUCCAAAAACAUCCCCUAAGAGGAGAUUAGUUUAUGAAUACGUUAUUUAAUUAUUCCAAUGUUUAUGAAUACGUUAUUUAAUUAUUAACUCUUGAAAGGAAGUCUCAAGUCACAACAAUUCGGGCACACCAUUUCGAAAUACACAUAUUCAUAAAAAGAUAGAAAGAGAAAAUAAUUAAAUAACGUAUACUUUUAAAAUAAUUAAGUAUUUCUUUGUGUUCAGUAUACAUCUCAACCAACACCUAUUGAUUCUUGUAUAAAUAAAAAUGGUGUCUAAGCCUAUCGCACAACGGACCCCUCUCAAACUAAUCACCCAACCAAAAUAGUGUCUUAGCUCCAUUGUCCACCACCCUCACCAAAUUGUCCUAGUAUCCUCGCAACCCACCGUUCAUAUUAACUAUGAGUAGUGAUAUAUGUACAACUCUUUGGUACAACUUUCAUGACAACUUUGGUUUUCUCUCUUUUGAUUGGUCAAAAAUACUAGAGAGAGAAAAAGGAAGAGAGAUAAUAAGAAGAUAAUGUGAGUAUGUGAGAGAAAGUUGUCAAAAAAUUGUUAGAAAAUGGUUGUACAAAUAUCAUUUCUCAUUAACUAUUAUUCAUCAAACUACAUGUUAUUUCUAAGAAAAAAUAAAAAAAUUAGUUUUUAUAUAUAUCUUUUAUUUGGCCAAUUAGCCUAAUGAAUAAAAUUCCACCCUAUUAAAAUGAAAAAAUGGAGAAGGUAGGAAAUUCAACCCCUAUAUAUAUAAUAUAAUAUCCAUGCCAACUGAAUAUGAAAGUCUUUUGCCAAUAUAUAUAUAAAUUAAUAUUCAACUACCUAACAUGUAUGAUUUCUCGAUAAAACAAUAUAUUAACAAAAUAUUAUAGUUUAUUUCAUUUAUUCUUGAUGAUGAGAAAUCAAUAAUAACAUUUUUAUUUAUUUAUAGAGAUAAUAUAAUAUCUCUAAACUAACAUAUAACUUAUUAAUUCAUCUUAAAUUUUAACUUAAAAUACAAUUCAUCAAUCUCAUUAAUAUUAUAGCAUGAGUCAUUAUACUAGUUUUUUUUUUUUUUUUAGUAAAGGUCAUUAUUGUGUAACCAAAAAAUAAAAGAAAAUAUUCUAUAUUAAAAUUUCAGAGCUGCCGUUCCUGUCACAAUUAAUUAAUUUUUCUUUUUAUAUUUUGAUAAUUUCAGAACUCCUUAAGUUCAAAUUGACAGCGAUGAACGAUAAUGAAAGACGCCCACUUAUUUUGAAUUUUUCAUACAAAUGUGUGGCUAGACGUGGCCAUAUAAUUUGUAUUCAUGCGUACCCAUCCGAACCCCGUUUCGAAUAUGAUUUGGACAACUUGAAUUGGAGCUAGACUUGGUUAAACAUAACCAUAAAUCUUUUAUCUAGAUACACACUCAUUAAUAACAAAAAGUAAAGGAGGAAAAAAUAAAUUUUAUUAUUAUUGAAAUUAAUGAAUAAAGUGUCGUGACGGAUUCAGAAAUGUUGACUUGUGGAAACAAAACUUUAUAUAAUACUCCCUCCGGUCCUAUUUACAAGAGAAAUUUGACUUUUUAAAUACAUUGAAUAAUGUAUGUAUCUAGUCAAGAACCUAAUCCAAAUACAUAAAUUAUUUAAUGUAUCUAAAAAGUAAAUUGUUUCUUAUAAAUAGGACCAGAGGGAGUAAAUAUUUAAAGAAAAUUUUUAAUAAUGCAAAAGUGAUAUAAUAAUAACAUCAUUAUCAUUGAGAAAAAUGCUCAAUAUUUAGAAAAAUUAAAGACUCGUCAACAUCUACAAAUUAAAAUUGUUUUUACGUGUCUUUAUAUUCAAAAAAUAUGGUAGAAAUUAAAUUUCAUCUCAAAUGCAUUUACGCAUUCGAUUUUAUGAAAUUCAUGAACAAAACUUUUUUUUAUGGUAUAAAUUUUAAUUUAAUUGAGGCAAUCUAUUAUUUUAAGAGAGAGCAACCAUUAAAAUAUAAAAAAUUUAACAAAUAUAACCAGAAGAGUAGUGGGGGCAGUUUCCCCCAUACCACUCUACCUAGAAUCGUGGUUGAUGAUGUGAUUGUUAAUGUGGUGUGCCUAAAUGCAAAAUAUUUAUUUUUGUUAUCAAGUAAGUAUUGACUCGGUUCGUAUUUUUUACGAUUUCAAAAGACGGUUGUGGCCUCGCCCGUAUCAAAAUUAUAUUAUUACCUCUCUUAAAUUAUAAACUCAUAAACAAAUUCCUAAAUUACAUUCAUACAUUAACUUUUAUUUUUAAGCUCAACCUUAAACAAGUCAUUUCCUCUACUUUUUUUUUUUAGAAAACCAUAUUGUUGAAACAACAUAGUUUUGAGCUUUUUUACUUAUUCUUAAUAGAAAAAAAGAUCAAAUGCCACUUUUGAUCCUUUUAGUUUAACAGAAUUCUCAAGUUAGUCCUUUAAAUUUCGAAAGUUUCAAUUAGGUUCUUUUGGUUUGACAUAAUUCUCAAGUUAGUCCUUUAAGUUUCAAAUAGGUCCUUUUAGUUGAUAAAUUAUUUCACUGUUACCGCUGCUGUCAGUCUCUGUUUAACUAAUGUUAAUGUAGCUGUAAGUUGUUGACUUGAAUCGAAAUGCUGCCUUUUAAUAGCUCGAGGGUGCAUGUCUAAACGCUACGUUUAAUGGUCACAAAUGAUCAUUUAUAGUGCUAAUAAGACAGCUAUUUACAACAAUAAAUGUCUUUCUAGCACUAUUAAACGACAUUUAUAAUACUAGAAUGAUCAUUUGUGACGAUUAAACGUAAUGUUUUGACUCACCGGAGCUUUUAAAAGACAACGUUUUGAUUCAAGUCAACAACUUAACGGCUACAUCAGCAUCAGCUAAUUAUUAACUGACAUGAGGGGGGUAACGGUGAAAUAGUUUAUCAACUAAAAGGACCUAUUUGAAACUUUUGAAACUUAAAGGACUAACUUGAAAAUUAUGUCAAACUAAAAGGACCUAAUUGAAACUUUUGAAACGUAAAGGACUAACUUGAGAAUUAUGUCAAACUAAAAAGACCAAACGUCAUAUUUGGCCUACAAAAAGUACAAAAGUUCACGUGAGAGAAUCGAACAACCCAAAAUGUUUUGUGAACCCUAUUUCUUGAUGAAUCCACGUGAUACACAACUCAGCAAGCCAUCAGAGCAUGCCUCAACGGAGAAAAACGCCGAUAUCUGCAUGGAAACCAACCCCAAAAGGGGUUAUCUUCCAAAAACUACCAGCACAAGGUCAUAGGUGUUCUGGAAUGAGGAUAAUGCGUAGGGGCAGCGCCUCUCAUCGCACCACCGCGCUAGCCGCUACAUCUAAAAGGAACAAAUUUGAAUGAGGGGAAGGCGUUGGAGAGGUGGUCGUUCAAGAGAGAAGCGAGAGAGUACUUUUUGAGAGAGAUAAGGGAGCAUCCUCCUAUCUUCCUAAAGUUACAUGCAUUUCUUAAUUUUGUCUAACAUCCAAUUUACCCUCUAUACCGUAGAUUUUUUUAAAAUACUCCCUCCGGUCCUAUUUACAAGAUAAAGUUGAUUUUUUUGAUACAUUGAAUAAUGUAUGUAUCUAGUCAAGAACCUAAACUAAAUACAUAAAUUAUUUUAUGUAUCUAAAAAGUAAAUUGUCUCUUGUAAAUAGGUCCGAAGGGAGUAUUUACUUUUUUUUGAACAAAGUAAAAUGAGACAUAUAUUAUAAACAAUGGCGAUUUACCGUGCACAAGACAUGCAAAAGGUAAACCGACCAAUCAAAAUACAACAGUAGGGUGCUAAUUUAGAGUAACACCGUAAAAAAGUUACAAAAAAACUACACAAAAACACCCAUGCAGGGAAGUGGGUGUUUCCACCAGUCAUAAUAAGAAUAAAUAAAAGAUAUAUGCGAUGAUUUCAGCCACAUAAACGAGUUCAGCUUCACUUUUUCAGCUAAAGAAGAAGGAUCACAAACCGUUUCUUGGAACACACGGUUAUUUCUUUCCUUCCAAAUGACCCAAGCAGAAGCGAACCAUAUUACUUUCAGAUAAUAAUGAGUGGCUCUAGGAAAGCCGGCCAAAUUAGAAAAUUGUGUAAAAUGCCGCCGAAUAUCACCUGGAAACACCACAGAUAAACCUAACCAAUGCAAAAUAUGAUCCCAAAGCGUACUAAAAAUAUUACAGACACAAAACAAGUGAUUUGCGGUUUCAUAGGCACCACAACCUGACACACAAACCGAGUUAGCUAACAGAAGAACACGCCGAUGAACCAAGUUGUCUCUAGUGGGAAGUCUAUUCCGAAAAAGGCGCCACACAAAUAGUGACACCUUAGAGGGUAUGCUCUUAUGCCAAACAUCUUCAACCAGAGUCUUAUCCACCACAUUACCAUUAUCAGUGAGAAAACGAUAAGCUUCCCGUACCGUAUAACCACGGAUAGGAUCUAACAACCAAAUCCAAGAGUCAUGAACAUUAACCUGCAAAACGACAUUAGAAAGUAACAUAGAACAUUCCUUCACACUUUCCUCCUCCCACGCCAAAAGUCUCCGGCUCCACUCCCACCCCCACCUCCAACCUCCCAACCGUCCCUACUCAUGUCCUCCACCGUACACUCUUUGCGUAAAAACAAAUCAAAAAGACGGGGGAAUUUACAACAUAAAGGUGUAUCCCCCAACCAAUUAUCAUACCAAAAUAAAGUAUCCCUACCAUCUCCUACCCUCCUACGAAUGUUGUCAUCAAACCACCUCCCAACACCCUCACCUAACCCCUCCCUAAUCCUACACACUGACCGCCACCACGGAGAAUCGAGGUGUCCUCCCUCCUCCAACCGUCCCCCUAUCUCACCAUAGCGGGCUUUAAGUACUUUAUACCACAUCCCCUCCUUUUCAUUCAACAUCCUCCAACACCACUUCCGCACCAACGCCAAAUUAAAAGCUCCCAUCCUCCUCACCCCCAACCCUCCGUGCUCCUUUGGAGUACAAAUCGACUCCCAAUUUAUCCAAGCAAUUUUCCUAGAGUCCUCACCCCCACCCCAAAAAAAAAAUUAAAAAUAGAUUCAAUAGAGGAAAUUAUACCUGCGGGGGCUUUGAAAAAGGAAAGAAAGUAAACAGGAAUGGAAGACAGAACAGAUUUCAGAAGAACCAAGCGGCCGCCAAAAGAAAGGAAUUUAUUACUCCACAAGGACAGGCGCGAAACAAUUCGAUCGACAACAGGUUUCCAAAAACUAAGUUUCCUUGGAUCACCACCAAUAGACAACCCUAAAUAGACAAAAUGGAUAGUUCCCCUUCGACAAUUCAUAACCAACGCCGCUUCAGUCAACCACGAAUCCGAAACAUUCACACCCGUCAACAUGCUUUUAAGAAAAUUUACCUUCAACCCCGAAAUCUUUUCAAAUAAUAGCAAGACGGACCUCAUGGUUCUGACGUUCAACCAACUUUUCUCUCCAAUAAUAAGGGUGUCAUCCGCAAACUGCAAAUGAGUUAAAUAAACAUCACCUGAUCGACCAACUUUGUACCCUGAAAACAUAUUAGCAUCAACCACCGCUUUCAUCAACACAUUGAAACCUUCUGUAACCAACAAAAAAAGAAAAGGUGAUAAAGGAUCUCCUUGUCGAAGGCCCCUCUCAAUAGGAAACUCAUUCGCCGGGCUACCAUUAACCAAAACUGAUGUUGUUGCUGUCCCAACACAUUCAUGAAUCCACUUCCGCCAGAGUCUCGGAAAAUUCAUAUUCUCCAUUACCAUGUCCAGAUACCUCAGAUCAACUGAAUCAUACGCCUUUUCGAAGUCAACUUUAAACAACAACAGUUCUUUAUUCAUCCUCUUAGCUUCAUCCACCGCUUCGUUAGCUAUCAAAAUACUGUCAAGAAUCUGUUUCCCCUGAAUAAAAGCCGACUGUGACUCUGACACAACAUUACCCACUACUAAACGGAGACGAUUGGCGAGGACUUUAGCUAGCACCUUAUACAGACAGCCCACUANAGAGAUAGGCCGAAAAUCAUGGAGUCUUUGCGGACUAUUAACUUUUGGAAUUAAAGCUAUAAAAGUUGAGUUUAUACCUUUUGUAAGUUUCCCAUUCCGAUGGAAAUCUACCAAAAACCUCAUAAAGUCAUCUUGAAGCAAAUCCCAAAAUUGUUUGAUGAAACCAAAAUUGAUGCCAUCAGGCCCUGGGCUUUUGAAGCUAUCACAAUCCCACACCGCCUGUUUCACCUCCUCAACUGAAAAAGGUUUUGUCAAAUUCCCAACCUGAACACCAGUUAAUUUUCGAAAAAGAAGAUUCUCCACACCCCACCGAUUAGCCGCACUUGAUUUAAAGUGAGAAGAGAAAUGAUUAAAGACCGCAUUCCGAAUAGCUUGAACACAUUCCAAAUUAACCCCAUCGACAGACACACACCUAAUAGCAUUGUGACGCCGUUUAGCAGACAUAACUCCAUGAAUUUUUUUUGAAUUUGCAUCUCCUUCCUUCAACCACUGCAAUCGAGAAUUUUGCCAGUGUACACUAGUCUGAGUUCGAGCCAAAGAAUGGAGAUUCACAGAUAAAUCACGUAAUUCCAGCACCUCAUUUUCCUGAAGUUCCGACAACUCUGCCUUUGUAUCUAAAAUGGAUAAUUUAUUUUUUACCUCCGACUUCCUUCCAUCUAAAUUCUUAAUAUGCUAACACUUUAGGUGAAAAAAAAGAUUAUACUUUUAUGUUAAAAAAUAAUUUAAAAAUAUUUUUACAUUGUCAAUUAAUAAAGUAAAAAUAUUAAAAUUUGAUUAAAAUUAUUUUUAAAUUCAUAUACAUGAUUGCUUGUGAUUAUUUAAAAAUAGUAAAAAAAUAAUAGUUCAACCGUAUAGUGAAAUUAAACUAAAAAAAAGGUGUACCGCAAUAAUUUCAUUCUCCACCUUUUAUUGAUUUUGUUUUUUCCGGCCCCUCCCACCAUUUAUUUCUGGCUCCACCCGACAAUCAAUUUGUGUCGAGUGUUUAAUCUACACAAUUUUUUUUAUUAUCUACAUUUAUUUAUUUUUUAUUUCAUUAUUAUUUAUCAGUUAAUAAAUACUUCCUUCGGUGUCCCCGUGAGCUUAGCUCAGUUGGUAGGAACAAAUGCAUAAUAUAUGCAGGGGCCAAGGUUCGAACCUCAGAUACACUACUUCUUCACAUUAAAUAUGUGUGAGCUCCAGCCACUAGGCUACCUGACCAAAAAAAAAAAAUACUCCCUCCGAACAUACUUAUAAGAAAUACUAGAAAUCCGACCCGUGCUGACGUCAUAUAACAAUAAAUCAUAAAUCAUACAAAUAGAAGAAAUUUAAUUCCGUUCAAUCAUACAAAGUACACGAUUUAGGAUACAUUCCAAGUCAUACAUAUUAAUAGAAGAACUUUAAUUUCGUUCCAUCAUACAAAGUACACAAUUUAGGAUACAUUACAAAAAACUUCAUGAUAAACAACAUUAGACAUUACAUUAGUGUCUUCACGAUCAUCACAAUUUUGUUUGUUUUUUGGAAACUAAUGCUUCUAAGUUGCAAAGAAAUUGAUGGUUCUUAUCUUACUAUUAUUUUGUUCCCAAUUUGUAAGGUGUUCAACUAAUCAAGCUCAAACCUUAUAAGAGUGAGGUUCAUGGUGUUUUGUUAAAACUUGAAUAUGCAAUUAACAAUGACGGCCCUUUUAUGGUGGUGUUAUUUUAUUAAUAUUUUGACGGUGAUUUAUCAUAGUAAGUGCAACAGAGUGUGAUAUAUAUAUAUAUAUAUAUAUGAGGAUGUAUACUAUGAGAAUGAGUAUUUUAUAUGAGAAUGAUGAGAAUAAUUAUCAAUCAUCAGAUUAAAAAUAAAAGGUUGCGAUUAAAAAUUCUUAUUUAAACAACCCAUGUGCCUCACUUACACUUAGUGUAUCCACAAUACUCAUUCAGCUACCCAUUCAUCGCUUCAUCUUCUUCAAAAUCUCCAUUUUCUGCAACUUUUUCAUCUAUCAAAUCUUCAUUGUAAUUUCUUUCUGCAAACAAAUCCAUAGAAACAUCUCUUUCAUCAACCCAAACAACAUUUUUUGUGUUUGAGAUGUGAAUUGAGGUUUUUGUUUGUUUUUCAAUCAACUUCAAUUAAGUGUAUUCCUGUUUCGAAUGAAUUUCAAAUUUUUGAUUUCAAUCGGAACUCUUGUUUUUGGAUUUUCAAACUGUUGUAUUUGGAUUUCCAAAAUCUAUUAUCUACCGAAGUUGUUACUAGGUUGAGUCGCGACCAGGUCGCUCUCUUUAAGACGUUUCGCGGCACUGCCCAAAAUUGUGCAAGGCAGACUAUCAACCACGCCGCCUCCAGAAUAAAACAAGCCCAGCUACUACUGUUUGAUUAACUAAUGCACUGUAGAAAAUCGUUCGAGAAUUACACCUCCAAAUAUGGUGCUAAGACCACUCUUUAAUACUGAAACCACUUUAAUAUGGUAUUGUUACCACUCUGUUAUGGUGCUGAGACCACUCAAAUAUGGUAUUAACACCAUUCUAACUUUAAGUUCUCCAAACUAUCAAUAUGGUACUACGACCACUCAAAUAUGGUGAUACCACCAUUUCUCCUCAAAUAGAAAAAUAUUGAAAUACUUUUUAUAUAUACCCUUAAGAUCAUUAUUAAUUCCGACGGAACAUUGUUAUUCCAAAUAGGGACUAUGAUCUUAAAAGUACUCUUUAUUCUGAAGGGACAUAUAUUAUCGAAGAGAUUAUGUUUUAAGACCAUUCUUAAUUCCGAAGGGACAUUAAACCGAAAAGGGACUAUGGUCUUAAGAACAGUCUUAAUUCCGAAGGGACAGAAAGGAGUAGAAAAAGGAGAAUGACUUGUCAACACAAGUCGAAUGAGGGAGAAGAGAGGAAAAACACAGAAAACAUCAACUGUGAAUUUCGGUGUGUUUUUGAACUAAGUGGAGUCCUCUAUUUAUAUAGAGAUUCUGUAACUGUUUUAGCAAAAAUUGCGACAACAGUUACUCUAAUGGAUAAGAUUAAAAUGAAGUUUAUCCAUUAAUCAGUUCAACAACACUUGUGAAUAGGAUGAAAAGAAACAAAUCCACAAAAGUGGAGGAAACAAACUAUUGGAUUUGAAUGAAGGAAAUAUAAUAAUAAUUAAAUUAUUAUUCUUAUCACAACCACCAUAAGCUAAAUUUAUGUAAAGUGAUAUUCUCGAAUAAAUUAAUAAUUAAUAUUAUUUUUAUCAUUACCAAGUAUUUAAAAUUAAAUACCACAAUUUAAGCACUACUAAUGUGUGUGUUCUAUUUUAUGUGAGACCCCCACACUCUAUUUUUUCAAUUCACACAACAUUAGAUCAUAGUAUAAUUACUUGGUGUUUAAUCUUCCAAUUUUUUAUCCAACAUCACAUCAAUGUUCCAACAAUUCCCCACUUGAAUUUUAAAAAUGGUUUCAAUAAUAACGUCAAAACGUUUCUAUAAGGUUGCUAAUAAACAAAGGUGUCGCCUACAACUUGAACCUUUGCAUAGCGGAUAAUAUUCUGAUUUAACAAGAGUUGCUUACAGCAUUGAACUCUAUCUCAGACAUAGAACCCACACACAAACCUUUUCCUAAGGUGUAUUCUAAAAGCUCGUGCGUUUUAUGGCCUUGCACGUCUAUCCCGGUUUUAACGAACGUUCUAGGUAUUCUGCCCCGAAUACCAUAGGAAUCGGCCUAAGUUCCACAUUCGUAUAGGUGAGUCUAUCAAGAGUACUCCUGUAGCUAGGUACUCCACUCCACAUAGAGUAUAGAUCUCAUUAAGAGUUUCUAUUAUCUCAUCCUUAUGUCACUGCAGGAAUCAUGCUUUCUUACUUUUCUCAUGCAUGUUCUUUCACUCAUGACUUGUCAUUACCCAUUGAACCUAUUUCUUGGGAUCUCCAAUCAUGUAGGUCGGGUUACCAUUACUAGUGACCUUUGGGCAUUAGUCCCAUAUUCCUAUUGGAUGUGUUUAGGACUUUUUUUCUAGUAAUUCCUUUCGUCAAAGGAUUGACUAAUUCUUUAUUUGUACGUGCACGAUAUACUUUAACCGUUCCUUUUAGAGCUCUCUAAUUAUUCUGUGUUCGUGCCUUAAUUAUCGUUUCUCACCAUUGUGGUAAUGAUUCUCAAUUUUGUAAUAGAUGCAAACUAUCACAAUAAAUUAACACUUCGGACAACGGUUUCACCCACUGAGGGUUCUUAGCUAGCAAGCAUCUUAUCAACUUGCUUCUUCACUAGUUUUCUCUAGUGUUCUCAUCUCAGAAUCAUUCCAUAAUAUCAUUUGUUUCAACAAAUAACUCCUCCAGUGAUGCUCAAUUGGCAGUCACUGGUCGCUUUGAGACUCAUCUGAAGGAUGUUCAAUUUUUUUUUUUAUCUUGUACUACUCAUGUACAAUAUGAUACUUCUCAUUUGUAUCUUGUAACAUUCAAGUACAAUAGGAUACUUCUCAUAAUGUAAUCCUAGAGUCAUAAUCUUCUUAAGGCACCUCAUGACUCUUUCAAUAGCAUGACAAUGCUUCUCAUCUGUCUACUAGUAAACUUGAACAAAAGUCUUACGACGUGGCCAAUGUCGAGUCUAAUACAUUCAAUGGCAUAUAUAAAGACUGCCAAUGAUGCUUACCCUCAAGUGUUCUUGAAAAGCUUUACACUUGCAAGUUUAUAGUCAAAGAAUUACAUUUCCUUAAGAUAUUCUCAACUUUGUGAGAUUCAUCAGAAAAGUUUUCUUUUUUGAUCUAGUAAUCUUGAAACCAAGAAUUACUUCACCUUUGUCUAGGUCUUUCUUAUCAAUGUUGUUGAUAAACAAUGAUUUCACAUAAUUCAUAACAUGAAUCUUUAAACCAAAUAUGAGCAAGUCGUCUUCAUAGAGACAUAUGAUCGUGCAAAUAUUAUUUGUCACUUUCAUUCACUUUAUACUCAUUCGAUAGCAUUAGAAUGUCAAAUUUUUCAUGUCAUUCUUUAAGAGUUUAUUUUUUACCUCACAAAGAAUUAUCUAACUUACAAAACUUGUUUUCUAGUCCAUGAAUCACAAAACCUUCAGGUUGUUUAAUAUAGACUUCUUCUUCUAGUUCACCAUAAAGAAGGCAACUUUCACAUCUAUUUGGAAUACUAUCGAGUUAUGAACGGCGGCAAAAGGGACUAGUACUCUUAUGGAUAUGAUACUAGUGACUGGUGAAUAAGUGUCGAAGAAUACUAUAUUUUUCUGUCUAAAACAUUUGACUACAAGGAGAGCCUUGUAUUCAUUGAACCGUAUCAUCAGGUUUUAGUUCUUUUUCCUAAAAUCCAAAUACAACCGGUUAGUUUGCAACUAUGAGACAAGUCAACCAAGUGUCUUGUUUUGUUAGACUCUAGAAAAUCCAUUUCAUCAUUUAUUGCUUCUUGCCAUAAUUCAGCAUCCAAUAAGGAUAUAGCUUCUUUAAGGCUUAAUGGAUAUUCUUCCAAUGUAUAAACCGAGUUCAUACUCUUUAGCUAUUCUAGCUUUCCUACCUCCUCGAGGUUCUAUAACAUCUGGUACGAUGUUUUCAUAACUAUUUAUGAUUACAUGAAUGUGAUCAAAUAUAGUGCCCCCACUAGUUCUUAAUUUUUAGAAGGGAAUUUAUUUUGCCCCCAAUAAUGUUGUGCUCCCACUAGUGCCCCCACUAUUCUUUAGUUAAAGGGGUAAAUAUAUUUCCAUAGAAAUCGACAUCUUUUAAUUCUAUGAUCACUUUAGCAUUUAAGUCAUAAACUUAUAUGCUUCGCUGUUUAUAGCAUACCUAAUGAAUACACAUUCAUAGGCUCUACUAGUGAGUUCAACUCUCUUGGGAUUCAUAGUCAAAAUAUAGUCCAGACAAUCCCAAGUUAAAAAAUAAGACAAGUUGGAUUGUCUUUUCUUCAAAAAUUUCUUAAUUAGAAUUUUUGUUCUUAGACUUGGGUACUCUAUAAAUUUCAAUUUUCGUUAUAAAAAUUGAACAUAUCAAGCAUAUCAAUUUUAUUUUUCAAAAUUCACAGUCAUCAAUAAAUAUGAUAAAAAUAUCCUUUCAUCAUUUCUACUUUAUGUGCCAUCAAAUUCACACAUAUCAUAAUUUAUUAUGUUUAGAGAUUUAUAUCUCUAAAUUCUGAUUUAUAUGAACUUUUGGUUCAUAUAUCUUGACUGCAAUAAAUAAAAUUGUCUAAUCAUAUAACUUUGGAAUUAAAUCCAAGUUACUCAAGUUUAAAAUUAAACGUUUGUUCACAUGACAAAUUUUGAUAUGUCAAAUAUUAAAAUCACACAACUAAUAAAAUAGAAGGAAAAUUUAUUUUGAACAUACCAUCAAGGACACAUCUUUUCCCACAAUAAUGCAUGAUGCACAAAUCUUUCUUUAAGUUUGAGCUAACUCAGUCUUAUUCAAUAGAAAUCUGAAAUUCAGAUUCUUUCUUAUUUUAAAAGCAUGCAACAAGUUCCAAACCUUAACAUUAGCAUCAAGGGAAAAUGGGUAUUCUAAAUUCUUGCAUUUUAAUAUGCUAACUUGCGACUCUGUAUACCCAACAAUAUGCCAUAAAAGUACCUAUAGCAUUUAUAUAAGGGAACUUCUACGGUACACUCACAAAGUGAGGUGUACCGGUACUCUUGCUCAAUAAUUUUAUAAAUUAACGAUCAUUUUUUGUGAAAUAAAUAACUAUUUAUCAACAUUUAUAUUUUAUAGAACAUUAUUUCAUAAGAAAAAACAUCAUUGCAUUGUUUAUAAGAAUUUUAGUAAUAUUUUUACAUAUUAUCGUAAAAAAAUAAUCAAUGUUCUCGAUUAUGGGUGAUAAAAAUUCAAAAAAUAUUAAUUUUAAUUCGUUGACACUUUUGAUGAAUAAGAUUUAGUUAUUAUAAUUAUAAAUGAUAAAAAAAUAAUUUUUUUUUAUCAAAAAACAACUCAUUUAACUAUUAGUUUAAAGAGUGGAUGUACCGGUACACUCAAAUAUAUUGGAUGUACCAUAGAAUUUCGCUUUUGUAUAAUUCGUUGCAUAAGUAAUAAGUUAUGGCCAUUCUUCUUACUGUUUGAAAAAACUGACAUAGAUUUUUCAAUUCUGGUUACUGUUUUAGUGACAAACUAAACUUGUUUGGUUCUAUAACGAAUAAUUUGUUUUGUAACAAAUUAUAGUCUUAAUCAAAUAUUGUUCGAUUUUUUAUUUUAUUCACGGUAUGAUUUUGAUUUUUGAAAACAAAUUUCAAUCAAAUUCAGAGUCACAUUAGUGAAUUUCUUAGUGUUAUUGUUUAUAACUACAAUCACUUUUUCAGUCAAAAGAUGUAUUUAUAUAGUUUGACACAUUAUUUUUGGAUUUCCAAACUGUUGUAUUUGGAUUUCCAAAUUCUAUUAUCUAACGAAGUUGUUACUAGGUUGAGUCACGACCAGGUCGCUCUCUUUAAGACGUUUUGCGGAACUGCCCAAAAUUGUGCAAGGCAGACUAUCAACCACGCCGCCUCCAGGAUAAAACAAGCCCAGCUACAACUGUUCGAUUAACUACUGCACUGUAGAAAAUCGCUCGAGAAUUACACCUCCAAAUAUGGUUCUAAGACCACUCUUUAAUACUGAAACCACUUUAAUAUGGUAUUGUUACCACUCUGUUAUAGUGUUGAGACCACUCAAAUAUGAUGUUAACACCAUUCUAACUUUAAGUUCUCCAAACUAUCAAUAUGGUAAUACGACAACUCAAAUAUGGUGAUACCACCAUUUCUCCUCAAAUAGAAAAAUAUUAAAAUACUUUUUAUAUAUACCGUUAAGAUCAUUCUUAAUUCCGACGGGACAUUGUUAUUCCAAAUAGGUACUAUGAUCUUAAAAAUACUCUUUAUUCUGAAGGGACAUAUAUUAUCGACGAGACUAUGUUUUAAGACCAUUCUUAAUUCCGAAGGGACAUUAAAACGAAAAGGGACUAUGGUCUUAAGAACACUCUUAAUUCCGAAGGGACAGAAAAGGAGUGAAUAGGCCAAAAACCCCCUGAAAUUGUAACUUUCGUCAAAAAUCCCCCUGAUUUUUAAGAAACUUCAAAAACGCCCCUGAAAUUAUCAAACGUCAGUCAAUUACCCCCCUCCGUUUGUUUUGGCUGUUAAAUGACUAUUUUUUAAUUUCUUUUUGCUUUCUUCAUCUUCUUCCUUCCACUUUUUUCAUCAUCUUCAUCAAUAUUCAUAAAAAAAUCCAGAAAAAUUUUAAGAAACAACAACCAUUAACAACAUCAUCAUUAACAUCACACACUUUAUAAUGAUUCUCUCUCUCUUGUUUGUUACCUUCUUGAAUUAAUCAACAACAACCUUUUGGAAUUCAUCAACAACAAAAUGAAUAAUAGAAAAGAUCAUGAACUUGUUUGAAAAAGAACAAGGUUUAUGAUGAAUAGCAUGGACAACAACAUCAACAGCAACGGUUCUUCUCAUUCUCAUGAUGUUACUGUUCCAUCAUCACUCAUGUCUCCUCUUCAGAAUCAAUCACUUUUUAACCCUCAUUCAAAUGGAUUUCUUUUUUGGAGCAGCGAUGAGAUUACCAACAACAAUGAUCAUCAUCAUCAAUUGUCUCUUGAUCUUUCUGCUACGACCCUUUUGGAUAACAAUGAGCAACAAACAAGAGAAGCUAGUAAUGAGAUGAUGAUGAUGUUGUUAAUGGUUGCUGUUUCUUAAUUUUUUUCUGGAUUUUUUAUAAAUAUUCAUGAAGAUGAUGAAAAAAGUGGAAGGAAGAAGAUGAAGAAAGCAAAAAAAUAAAAAAUAGUCAUUUAACAGCCAAAACAAACGGAUGGGGGUAAUUGACUAACGUUUGGCAAUUUCAGGGGGGUUUUUGACGAAAGCUACAAUUUCAAGGGGGUUUUUGCCUAUUUACUCGACAGAAAAGAGUAGAAAAAGGAGAAGGACUUGUCAACACAAGUCGAAGGAGGGAAAAGAGAGGAAAAACACAGGAAGCAUCAACUAUGAAUUUCGGUGUUAAAAUGAAGUUUAUCCAUUAAUCAGUUCAACAACACUUGUGGGUAGGAUGUAAAGAAACAAAUCCACAAAAGUGGAGGAAACAACUAUUGGAUUUGAAUGAAUGAAAUAUAAUAAUAAUUAUAUUAUUAUUCUUAUCACAACCAACAUAAACUAAAUUUAUGAAAAGUGAUAUUCUCGAAUAAAUUAAUAAUUACUAUUAUUUUUAUCAUUACCAAAUAUUUAAAAUUAAAUACCAUAAUUUAAACACUACUAAUGUGUGUGUUCUAUUUUAUGUGGGACCCCCACACUCUAUUUUUUCAAUUCACACAACAUUAGAUUAAAAUAUAAUUACGAUAUUUAAUCUUCCAAUUUUUCAUCCAACAUCACAUCAAUGUUCCAACAUUUACCAUUGACACGCCAAAAUAUAACUGUUAUAUAAACGAACAUUUCUUUGGUUUUGUUAUACAUAGAUAAAACAGUUAUUUCAUAGUUAAGCAUGGUUGCAAAGCAUUUGCUUUUAAUAGCAGAAAAAAUAAUCAUAUAAUAAGGAACGUCGACCAAUAUUACAUUACCAAAACUUAGAACUCAUCAUAUUAUCUAAUUUAUCUGAAUCUUAUUGCCCUUUUAUAUUUUGUAAAACAAAAGUUUAAGAUGCAAGAACAAAUCUCUUUAAAAAUUAUAAGCAAUUAUAACAUAUGGUAAAAGUAACAAAAACUUUAUAAUUAUAUUAAGCAUGAAGACUCGUACAUAUUGAUUGAAUACAUAGUUCAAUACUGAAAAGAAAAAAAACUAAAAGCACCACAUAAUAGAUCCUUUCAGAAUUUAAAACGCAAAUUGAUACGAAGCUGACAGAUUUCGUAAAUUCCAUUCAUCUUUUUCAAACACGCAUACGACUAACAUAGAGAGUCUUGUUGAAGCCGGGAGCUGGAGCACCGAUCUUUAUCGUUUCACCCUGCUGAAUUCUUCAUGCAUCUACCAUCCUUUUCAACUGAAGCAAGAUUAUUAUGGGAGUAAUGGCUAUACCAGUGAGGAAUUGGUAGGAGAGCAAUGCUAGGAGUGGACGAUCUCCCAUGCUUGAAACAGGUAUGUUACGAAUUUGCUUGGAACAAUGGCAAAUCAAGCUGCUCACGCAACAUGGCUUAUAUAGUGCAAGCAUGGACAUGCGAAAGAGGGAGGGGUUUAAAUCUGCAUAGAGAAGCCGAACUGUUAUGUUUGGAAAAUGUAACAGAUGAUUGAAUUGAAUUGAAUGUCUUAAAUGCAAUGGAAUUUACAUGGCUCGGCUGAACUGAAGGGUUGAGGGUGGGAAACUUCAAUUUCAUAGUGCAAUGCUGAUUAAGAAAAACACUUAGUGGGAAAUAUGAAUUGCGGCUAUAAUGGGAAUUAAAUAACCAAGAAAUUAGUGUUAGGGGAAACUUCAGUUUUUCCUUUUCAUUACAUUGUAACUUACAAAAAAUAGUUAAUAACUACAAAAUGAGAAAUAUGAUUUGCGGCUUGUCAUACCUCAUAUUUGAUUCCGAGUCGGGCUCUCUUCUCUCAAUUAUUCUAUUUACUACUUCUAUUUUUUAAACUUCCAUCUUUUAUUAAUUUUCUUUUUAAUUCUAAAUUGAAUUUUAGUCCCUUGGUCUUAUUUAUCUUUUUAUUUUCCCAUAAAAAUCCAAAAAUAUACAUGUUCAUUCCUUUUUAUUAUUUUUUAAGUGAUAAGUCCAAAAGAAAAGUCCCAAACACAGCUCACAAACAGCUAAUCCCAGCCUGUAAUGUCUCCUCUCCAAGCAACAAAAUUUUGCUCUAUAAAUACAAGCAACCCAUAUCGCAACCAAAUCAAAUCCGUACAAAACCGAACCUCAUCAACAAACCUACACAGAUCCAGAUCAAGAAAAAAAAACAAUAAAAAGGUAGUAACCCUUUUUGUAGAUCUAGGGUCCGUUAAACCUCAUUUCAAAAAACCGUUUUCAAAAAAGAGAGGAGAAGGGAAAGGGUAAUCUUUUGGUAAAAAAAAUCAAAAAAAGGAGGAGUUUUUAACUCCGGCGCGGUGGCGCCGCCGCGAAAACUCGCCGACCACCGCGCCGGAACUAUCUCCGGUAGCCUCUCCUCGUCGAAGAAGAUGAAGAAAUUCUAGAGAGAAGGCAGAGCUUCUCUCUCUAGAAAUGAGAGAAGAGAGAGAAAAAGAAAUAAAAAUGAACAUAAAAAACCGGAGCUGGCUAUUUAUAAAGGGAUUGAACCGGUUCAACCUUUAAACCGGUCUGAACCAGUCUAAUCCAAGCCCACACGCGUCUGGCCUCACCCAAGGCCCAAAUCCUCUUCAUUUUAUUUUCUGCACCCCCCUUUACUGCUCACACACCCUCAGCAUCUCUUUUUUUUUUUUUAAUUUCUUUUUCAUGCAUUUUAAUUCUCUCUCUAUCCAGAUUGCUCUGGUCCUAUAUUAACUGUUAAUAUUAUAUUUUUGUUUAAUUUAAUUAUUCUCUAGAACAAUCUGGUCCUUGUUAAAAUGAACAUAAAAAAGAGAGAAGAGAGAGAAGAAGAAAUAAAAAUGAACAUAAAAAACCGAAGCUGGCUAUUUAUAAAGGGAUUGAACCGGUUCAACCUUUAAACCGGUCUGAACCAGUCUAAUCCAAGCUCACACGCGUCUGGCCUCACCCAAGGCCCAAAUCCUCUUCAUUUUAUUUUCUGCACCCCCCUUUACUACUCACACACCCCCAGCAUCUCAUUUUUUUUUUUAAUUUCUUUUUCAUGCAUUUUAAUUCUCUCUCUAUCCAGAGUGCUCUGGUCCUAUAUUAACUGUUAAUAUUAUAUUUUUGUUUAAUUUAAUUAUUCUCCAGAACAAUCUGGUCCUUGUUAAUUAAAUUAAUCCAGAGUGCUCUGGUCCUAAUUAACUGUUAAUAUUAUAUUUUUGUUUAAUUUAAUUAUUCUCCAGAACAAUCUGGUCCUUGUUAACUAAAUUAAUCCAGAACAAUCUGGUCCUUGUUAAUUAAAUUAAUCCAGAGUGCUCUGGUCCUAAAUUAACUGUUAAUAUUAUAUUUUUGUUAAUCCAGAGUGCUCUGGUCCAAACUUAAAAUGUUAAUAUUUAUUUAUUUUUGUUUAAUUUAAUUAUUCUCCAGAAUAUUCUGGUCCAUGUUAAAAUAACUUCACAAUUCAGCUUAACUUCAUUUUUCUCAUUCUGCUUAUAUAAUUUUCAUAUCUUUAUUCCAAAACAACAAAAAUAUUCAAAUAACAAAUCACAAAAAUAUUUUUUCAUUACAAACCUUGAUUCUCAAAUCAAGUGAUCGUUCUUUUUAUUCUUCUUAAUCAAAUUUCAAAUCAAGUCUAAUUCAACUUCAAGUCAAUUUCUUUCAAUCUAAAAAACACAAACCAAUUCUCAUUCGUCACUUGGCUUUUUAUUUCAAAACCUUUUUCAAAACAUAUAAAAAACACAAAACCAAUCAAACGUCAAUUUCUACCCCGAACUACGAGGUUUUGAUCCCUCACAGGUACGUAGGCAGGGGACCUUGUCCUUCCAAAUGAAUUAAAAAACAAUUUUCUUUUUUUUUCUUUUCAACUUUCAACUAAAAAAUAUUUUUCUUUUUUUCUCUUCAAUUAAAAUCAAUUUUCUUUUCUUUUUCAACUCAUCAUUCAAUUCCAUUUUCCAUCUCUUUAAAAGCAAGCAAGUUGUAGCACCAAAAGUUAAAUAAAAUCAAGAGGUUCUCGUAGAGUACUAUGAAUAUUUAGGGUGCUAAUACCUUCCCUAAAUAUAACCAACCCCCGAACCCUAAAUCUUUUCAAAAUGGAUGGUUUGGAACUUUUUCCCCUUAAAAAAAAAUUUGUUCAGUCGUGAGAUAAAAAGUGAGUCAAAAGUCAAUCAAAUGGCCUUGACGUCCGAAAAAUGGCGCGACACGGCUGUAAUGAGAAUUAAAUAAGCAAGAAAUUAGUGUUAGGAGCAACUUCAAAAAAUAGGAAAAAUUGAGCAAAGGACCUGAAACAACAUAAAGCUUUAAAAAAUAGGAAAAGAUAUUGAAAACAGACGUCGUAAUUGUGAGAAAAAAAUAAGCAUAUCACCUAUCAAGCAGUGAUAGGACAUCAGAGUUUCAAUACCACGACAUUCCAUUGCAAUGAUAGAAAAAUGGACGAGAUUGAAUUUUUUUAAGGCGUAUAGUUGUGAUAAAAAAUUACGGUAUCACUAGAAUCAAGAGGCGCUAAAGCUUUAAGUUGCGUAGGGAGCUUUAAUCAUGCGCAGGAGUCAAAUGUGUGAAUUAAAUGCGAUAGAAUAAAUUCUGAUCGAUUGAUUAGGAAAUGCUCUCAAAUUUGAAAUGAAGUGCUUUAAAUUAUUUAAUGUAUGAAAAACAAUUUGAAAUAAAAUGAAUUUAUUGCGUGUUAAAAGGGUGAGAAGGUCAAACCUGUGAAUUAACUGCGUGGGAGGGAAAUUGCUAGGUUAGAUUUAGGGUUAGGGUUAGCUUGACCAGACAAACUUUAGUAAGUAAGAUUUGAUUUUUUUUAUUCAUUACAUAAAUGAUAUAUUUGGUUUAUAUUUUAGACAAGAUACAUCAAUUACUUAAUGAAUCUAAAAAGUUAAAUUUUUCUUAUAAAUAAAACCGGAAGAAGUACCAUGAACAAUAACAAUCUUUCACAGUAAUAUGUUUAGUGCCACGUGAGUCCUGUAUUUUCUAUGUUCUUGUAGGACGUAAAAAGGUUCAAAACUUUGUUUGUUGAGAGAGAAAAUAUGUGUUCCCAUUUAUGGGACAUUCUGAGUAUGAUUGGUGUUAUUGUUUGAUAGUGGGGAGGAGUGAUUGUCUUCUAACUUCUAAGUUCUAACAAUUAGGUUAGGGUUAAAUAUAAAUAAAAUAAAAUAAAUUCAAAGGGGUGGUUGGAUGAUUGGGGUGUGGUAUCCUCAUGGGGGUUGCACGUGAUGUCUCAAAUCACUAACCCGUAAUUAGUAAUUAGUGUUCACAUGAUUGGGUGCAUAAACCAUAUAGAUUCAAUAAUCAUAUUUAUUAGGGUAUAAGUCUUUCUUUGAUGUUGUUUGUAAGAGUUGUACUUCUUCGUUCGUCAGUUUAAUGUACUUUAUCGAUGAAUUUUUAUAGAAAUAUCAUCCGUAAAUUUAAAAGGAGAGGUAAGAACGGAAUACACAUUAUAACGCAUUCAUCAUUUUUUUGGAAAAGCUUAAUAAUCAUCGUUACAAAUACAUAGUCUGAUGCAAAUUUAUACAUGAUUUCUCCCGAAGAAAUAUCUAUCUAUACUAUAUAGUGGCAAGAUAGAUAAAUACACCAUUAUAUCAACACACAACAUUAUUUUUAUUCAUGAAAUAUAUUACUGAGAAAGAGUACAUGGUGCAUGAAGAUAGAUAUCAUUAUGAUCAGUUUUGAGUUUUGUCCUCAGUUUGCUCGGCACCGUGACCACCGUGACCACCUCCACCAUGUCCCCCGUGUCCACCUCCACCGUGGUUGUAACCACCUCCACCGUGGUGGUAACUACCUCCUCCAUGGUUGUAACUACCUCCACCAUGGUUGUAACCACCACCAUAUUUGGCAUCAUUUACUUCAUUAGUCUUUUCCUCAGUUUGCACGGCAACAGAUUCAGCAGCACCAUGACCACCGUGACCUCCUCCACCAUUGUAACCACCUCCACCGUGACCUCCGUGGCCUCCACCACCAUUGUAACCACCUCCGCCAUGGUUGUAACCACCUCCACCGUGGUUGUAACCACCUCCGCCGUGGUUGUAACCACCACCAUUGUAACCUCCUCCACCAUGGUUGUAGCCACCUCCACCGUUGUUGUAACCACCACCACCAUGGUUGUAACCACCUCCACCGUUGUUGUAACCACCACCGCCGUGGUUAUAACCUCCACCAUUAUAACCACCACCACCGUGGUUGUAACCUCCACCAUAGCCUCCAUAUUUGGCAUCGUUUACUUCAUUAGUCUUUUCAACAACUUCUGAAACACGAUAUAUAUGAAUUGUUAAAUCAUUACUUCAAAUAUAUAUGAAUUUAAUGGUAGUGGGUUGACGAUAUAAAAUAACUUUGUAUACAAGACUAAUCAAAAUAUUUCAAGUUUCCCUGCAAAUUAAAAAAUAUUAAUUGAUGUGGUGAUUCUAAAUAUUUUCAAUGGUUUUGUGUGCAAAAAUUUUUUGAACCAUCAACCAACCACCAUUAAACUUAAUAUAUAUAUAUAUAUAUAUAUGAUUAUGUAUUCACACCGGCGUAAUGUUUGAAUAAUUUUACAUUUCUCACAAACUUAUUGAAUAUAGAAUUAUACCAAAUUUAAAAAGACUCACAAUUGAAUAUAUAAUAUAAUUAUAUCAUAUUGAUCAUCUUUGUAAGUUAUGAAGCAAAUUUGAAAUCAUUUUAUAUAAAAUUGAGUGCAUGAAGAUUAACGUUUACAUAGAAAAGAAUUAAUUAUAACGUAUAAAAUUAUAUAAUUAAGUAUAAAAGAAUUAUCCUUCAAAAAAGUAGAAAAGAAUUAAAACAUAUAUCUAAAACGCUCAUGAAAACAUAUAUAAAGAAACAUAAUAUAAUAUAUAGCUCACCCUUUUUAGUAUCAGUGGAAGUUUCAGUUAAGUCCCUAGCGGACAUCACUGAGGAAAUAAGAGCCAUAGCCAAUAGGCCUAGCAUGAGGAUUGCCUUUUUCGAAUCCAUUGUUCAAAUGUGAUAUUUAGUAGUGAACGAUGAGAAAAACUAGUAAGAAGUGUACUCUAUAUAUAAUGGAGGGAAGGAGGGAGAUGUAGGGACCUUCACUUGGCAGUUGAGAAGGUAGCUCUUGUGUAUUAAUUCAUUACUUUGUAGGUUCAUAAUGUAUCUAGUCAUAUUAUAGAUCAGAUACAUUUCAUCAGCAAUUAUAUUGAUGAAACUUCUUCUUGUUCUUGUUCUUGUCGAAUGAGUCUUCAACUAUUGCUUCAUCUUCACCUCUCAUCAGCAAUUCCAACGAGCCUUCCACUUUUUCUUCCUUUUGAAAAUUCAUGAAGUCUUUUUAUUUUUCUUCUCUCAAAUAUAUUCUUUUACUUUUCACUUGAGAUUUUUAACAAUUGCUACUCAUCUUAUUUAUAGAAUUUUAACUCUUCUUAGAACCAUUGUCUAUAACAAAAUUUUGUUUAAAUUUGAAGAUAAUGAGAAACAAACUUUGUUUAAUAAAAAACUUUGUUCCAAAGAGAUAGCAUUAAUUUAGUUUUAUUGAAAAAGAUAAGAGUAAUUGAUAAAGGAUAUAAUUGAAAAAUCGUACGCUUAAAAUACCAAAAAGACAGUUAAAUAGUAACGAAAAAUUCAUCCAAAAAAGACACUUAAAAAGAAACGGAGGGAAUAGUAUUUCAUAUCUUAUUUAUGUAUUAACAAAAAAUAUAAAAUUUUGAUAUUUUAAAAAUAUUCGACAAAUACAAAAAUAUCUUAUAUAUUAUCAUUUGCCUAUAUAAUAUACGAUAGUAAAAAAAAGAUGAUUAAAGUAUGUUAGGUAAAUAAUGCAUUUAGUCACUUGUUUUAGAAUAGAGUAGUUGUAAAGAUUGAAGGCUAUGAAAAUGGAGAUGAGUUAUGUCUACUUGCUAUUGGCUGAAAGUGACAUUUUGAAAGCAUGCUAUUGGUUCAUACUAGCUAUCUCAUCCCAUGGAGAUACAUACAUUCAAACUUAUCCAGACACAUUCAUAAUAUGUU
rnacentral:lncRNA from 1 species